rnacentral:rRNA from 7 species
CGAAAGUUAGAGGUUCGAAGGCGAUCAGAUACCGCCCUAGUUCUAACCAUAAACGAUGCCAACUAGCGAUCCGCCUGAGUUCCUCAAAUGACUCGGCGGGCAGCUUCCGGGAAACCAAAGUGUUUGGGUUCCGGGGGAAGUAUGGUUGCAAAGCUGAAACUUAAAGGAAUUGACGGAAGGGCACCACCAGGAGUGGAGCCUGCGGCUUAAUUUGACUCAACACGGGAAAACUUACCCGGCCCGGACACUGGAAGGAUUGACAGAUUAAGAGCUCUUUCUUGAUUCAGUGGGUGGUGGUGCAUGGCCGUUCUUAGUUGGUGGAGCGAUUUGUCUGGUUAAUUCCGAUAACGAACGAGACUCUAGCCUACUAAAUAGGCGUUCCGAUCCUUUAUGUCGGACGUUCUUCUUAGAGGGACAAGCGGCUUUUAGCCGCACGAGACAGAGCAAUAACAGGUCUGUGAUGCCCUUAGAUGUCCGGGGCCGCACGCGCGCUACACUGAAGGAAUCAGCGUGUGCUUUCCCUGUCUGGUAGGACUGGGUAACCCGUUAAACCUCCUUCGUGAUAGGGAUAGGGAUUUGUAAUUGUUCCCUUGAACGAGGAAUUCCCAGUAAGCACGAGUCAUAAGCUCGUGUUGAUUACGUCCCUGCCCUUUGUACACACCGCCCGUCGCUACUACCGAUUGAAUGAUUUAGUGAGGUCUUCGGACUGGCGCUCGUAGCGACCUUUGGCCGCGCCGACGUGCCGGAAAGAUGACCAAACUUGAUCAUUUAGAGGAAGUAAAAGU